AAGCUGCGAUAAGUAAUGUGAAUUGCAGAAUUCAGUGAAUCAUCGAAUCUUUGAACGCACAUUGCGCCCGCCAGUAUUCUGGCGGGCAUGCCUGUCCGAGCGUCAUUUCAACCAUCAAGCCCCCGGGCUUGUGUUGGGGACCUGCGGCUGCCCGCAGGCCCUGAAAACCAGUGGCGGGCUCGCUGUCACACCGAGCGUAGUAGCAAUCACCUCGCUCAGGGCGUGCUGCGGGUUCCGGCCGUUAAACAGCCUUACAAAACCCAAGGUUGACCUCGGAUCAGGUAGGAAGACCCGCUGAACUUAAGC
rnacentral:misc_RNA from 1 species